rnacentral:rRNA from 1 species
UUUUAUUUGAGAGUUUGAUCCUGGCUCAGGAUGAACGCUGGCGGCGUGCCUAACACAUGCAAGUUGAGCGAUUUACUUCGGUAAAGAGCGGCGGACGGGUGAGUAACGCGUGGGUAACCUACCCUGUACACACGGAUAACAUACCGAAAGGUAUGCUAAUACGGGAUAAUAUAUUUGAGAGGCAUCUCUUGAAUAUCAAAGGUGAGCCAGUACAGGAUGGACCCGCGUCUGAUUAGCUAGUUGGUAAGGUAACGGCUUACCAAGGCGACGAUCAGUAGCCGACCUGAG